UCACGAUCUGGCGAGGGCCUGCGGAAUCUUGUAAAAAAAAUGGCGCCGGCGUCACGUCAGCAAGUAAAUUUCUACAUAAUCUUGAAUAUAAACAGAUAUAAAAAAGCGGUGUGAAACUUGUAAAUUAAACUGGCGACUCUAAGGACGUGGAAGGAAGCAUUUUUUAACGAUAAGGUUUGUUGUCCACACCAACGUUGCACGAAUAAAACUGCCUUCUUUAACGAAG